UACCAGCACCCCCGAGUGGUCGGGACGUUUAUUGGGCCUAAAGCAUCCGUAGCCGGUUCUACAAGUCUUCCGUUAAAUCCACCUGCUUAACAGAUGGGCUGCGGAAGAUACUAUAGAGCUAGGAGGCGGGAGAGGCAAGCGGUACUCGAUGGGUAGGGGUAAAAUCCGUUGAUCCAUUGAAGACCACCAGUGGCGAAGGCGGCUUGCCAGAACGCACUCGACGGUGAGGGAUGAAAGCUGGGGGAGCAAACCGG
rnacentral:rRNA from 1 species